ACAUACAGCAGCUAUGUCUUCCUGCCUUUCCUGAUAUUCCUUUAACAUAUUAACGUGAAAGGAUCUCCGGAUACUUUCGUCAGCACAGCUGGCAAUUAUGUACGUGGUGUCACAUAAUUGUUCCACUACUCUGUAAGGGACCUGCCAUGCCAUCUGUAACUUACCUUGCUUAGUGUGUGUUAAGACACCUCCAGUGUCUUUAGGCAAAACCGCCGUUUAGUCGACCUUCCCCGUCUGCAAUCUCAG